rnacentral:tRNA from 1 species
GCUGGCGUAGCUCAGGGGUAGAGCACGUCCUUGGUAAGGACGGGGUCGGAGGUUCGAUUCCUCUCGCCAGCACCA